rnacentral:rRNA from 1 species
CGGUUGAUCCUGCCGGAGGCCGCUGCUAUCCGGCUGGGACUAAGCCAUGCGAGUCAAGGGGCUUGUAUCCCUUCGGGGAUACAAGCACCGGCGGACGGCUCAGUAACACGUGGACAACCUGCCCUCGGGAGGGGGAUAACCCCGGGAAACUGGGGCUAAACCCCCAUAGGGGAUGGGUGCUGGAAUGCCCCAUCUCCGAAAGUCCGCUUUGCGGAGCCCGAGGAUGGGUCUGCGGCGGAUUAGGUAGUUGGUGGGGUAACGGCCCACCAAGCCGAAGAUCCGUACGGGCUGUGGGAGCAGGAGCCCGGAGAUGGACCCUGAGACACGGGUCCAGGCCCUACGGGGCGCAGCAGGCGCGAAACCUCCGCAAUGCGGGAAACCGCGACGGGGUCAGCCGGAGUGCCCGCGCAUUGCGCGGGCUGUCGGGGUGCCUAAAAAGCACCCCACAGCAAGGGCCGGGCAAGGCCGGUGGCAGCCGCCGCGGUAAUACCGGCGGCCCGAGUGGCGGCCACUCUUAUUGGGCCUAAAGCGUCCGUAGCCGGGCUGGUAAGUCCUCCGGGAAAUCUGGCGGCUCAACCGUCAGACUUCCGGAGGAUACUGCCAGCCUAGGGACCGGGAGAGGCCGGGGAAAUUCCCGGGGUAGGGGUGAAAUCCUGUAAUCCCAGGAGGACCACCUGUGGCGAAGGCGCCCGGCUGGAACGGGUCCGACGGUGAGGGACGAAGGCCAGGGGAGCGAACCGGAUUAGAUACCCGGGUAGUCCUGGCUGUAAACGAUGCGGACUAGGUGUCACCGGAGCUACGGGCUCCGGUGGUGCCGGAGGGAAGCCGUUAAGUCCGCCGCCUGGGGAGUACGGCCGCAAGGCUGAAACUUAAAGGAAUUGGCGGGGGAGCAC